CAAAAAAUAUAACAACAUUUAGAAAAGGACAGGAAUACAUUGACAACAAUUUAGCAUUCAAAGGUUUUCUCCACGUAACUUUUUUACCGCAUUCGUUUAAUUGGACUUCAAACAAGUUUUACCAUUCGACCAUAAAAUUCUCAAAGAUAAUAACCCAAAUGCAUCAAACAUUUAGGUUAUUCGGAUUCUAGUUCAAUAUUUAAUAGUCUAACUAAAUAGAAAAUGAAAAUUAUUUUGAUUUCCCGUUAGUUCACGUUGUUACGAAUUUAGUUUCGCCUCUCAAUCUUUAACAACUAUGCUAUUCCAACAGUAGAAACAACAGUUAAACAAUGGACAUGUUUAAAUGUGACUCACGGGACAAAGAAAAUGGGGUAACAACCCUGUGCCAAACUUUGGUACAUAUUCUAACAUUUACGUAGUAUUUUUGGGCCAUUAGUUUGAGUACCUAAAUGUGAAGCAAGAUAGCCCCUUAUGGUGUAAUAUUUCUGUAGAAAGUGCACCGAAAUGACAAAUGUUGUCAAUAUUUUCAUUGUCAUGACUGUAGUUAGACCGCAACGGGUUUUUAAAGUUACUCUCGUUUGUAGAAGUAUUAUUUUUCUCUCCAAAAAACAUUGCUAUUAGAGACUGAAUAUUUAAAAUGAUAAAUGUUAAUGAGAGCGUGUGAUGUCGUUUAAGACAUGCAUGUCUAGUGGCUGGUCUGGUUCUCGGUCACACGGGACGGUCGUUUGACGCACGCAGCAUGCAUCCGCACACGCACUCAUUGCUCAGGAUUCGCAUACAUUUUUUUCAUUAUUUUUGUAACUAUCCUUGCCGAUCGUGAGAAACAGAACUCGAUCGUCUCGUCCUGUUCGUGAUCUUAGCAGCGUUUACUCGUUUCGAUAUCUUAUUUUUAAUCUGCUUUUUAUACCUUGCUCGAUACAGUUUAUUGAAGACGGUUCAUUUUUUUAAUACACAGGCAUUACAGUAAAUUGUCGUCGUAAACCGGAUACUUCUGAUCUAUCUGAUAAAUAUUUAAUUGGUUUUCUUGACAGUGUUUUUAUCGUGGGCGACCAAAUGCGGUUUAUGUACAUUGUAAAAUAUGUCUGACCGUAUUUCUAACCUUUGCUGCGUUCGUUCAGUAAAUUAGACACAGUUGUUGAAACGAUAAUGCGAGUGAAACUUCACAUGUUGAAAUGAUUGCAGGUAAAAUUCCUUUAAAGUUAUUGAACUAAACCCGGUAGGUACCAAUGUUUAUGUUAUGGGCUCACUACCGUCUAAACAUAACUAACAUAAUGUAAUAUUUAUAUAAAUAUUAUUUUCUGAAGUCGUGUGAGUAAUGGAAGUUUAGUCUUGGUAUAAUAAGGCUGCGUCAAAAAUUGAUUAACGAAAAUCAUACUAUAAGCGAAUGUCAUAAGGUUCGCGUUGUGUAACAAACAAUACAUUGUAAUUGAAAAGGGUUGAGCAUUGACGUAACAUGUUGGCUGGCUGCACGCGCACUUGCACAGAUGUGCCGUAAUGGCACGGAGGACUGAGUGCGCGGAGGGCGACGCAUACAUUUGAUAUUUUCAUGAGCCUGUUUUGCCACAACGUUGCUGUUUUGGGAGCAACUGUUCACUGAUGUAUGCUAUUUAAACUGGUUUGCGUGAAUUCUGCCCUAACGAUAUAUUGCAGUUCGAAAAUACAAUUUAUGGGUGCCGUGUGUACCGGAACAAUUACUAUGCAAACAUUGAGCGAUUACCAGCCGAUAGGGAGGCCAAAUGUAAUUAAGUUUUGUAUUAAACUGUAGAGUCACGAGUUACCAUGUAUUAUCUAAACAAAUAAAUGAUUUGCGCCAGCAGCUGGCAUCGAAAUAUCAAAGAAAUAAAUAAUGACAUCGCACCGUCUAACUUCGAAUACGAAAUAAGAAAGAUAUAAAAAUGUAAAGGAGGUGUUCGAAUGAAUAUUUUAUAGAACGUGUUAGCCACAGUAGUUGGUGCUUGUUGUCACAUUGCAGGCAGCACACGUAGUCACGGUCAGUACAAGUCUAAUGUCUUGUGUGUGUCAAUGUUAGUAACAACAUUACUUUUUUGUGUAAAAUCUACGUCUAUGUUGUACGGAUACUUUUACUAUAGAUUUUAUGAGUUAUACUACAACAAGCAUCAUUGGAUCUUUUACGUAUUUAAUAAAUACUCUUUCAGCAGAUGCAAGCUCAAUAUAUUGUAAAUAAGAUAAGGCUGCAGUGGCGCAAACCCGUUUGACACUUGAGCCUUAAUGUGGAGACAGAUGCAGCGACGUGACGAAACCCCACACGAUCUCACGCGGAUCAGGAAGCUGCGGUUAUUUUCCGUCAACCGCAAUAAAUAACAAUCCAAAAGAACGCGGGGUUUAACGUACGCCUUGAAGGACUAUGUUAAGACGAUAAAAGACAGCUUCUCGCCAUUUUUCCAUAUCAGCACGCAAUUUAUUGCCCCUUGUGGCGGUGUCACGCUUGUAAUGUGUCUUUGAACAAUGUAGGAUAUCAGUGCUACAAUAAAGAGGUACGUGCCACGAAUACAGACGACUUGCCUGAUAAAUAUUACGUUUUAAUUUGUAUCCGUUCAUAAGAAGUUUGAUGCUAUAAUGAGCAGAAAUUAUAAUUUCUAAUUUACAACCAUAAAAACGAUAUGCAGUGUUUAAUUGACAGUGGUGUUAGAUGUAAUUUUACGCUUAUUAGGCAAGCGGGUGGCUUAGAAAAGACUACAGUAGUCUAGACUGUAUGUGCCGUUAUUUUAAUUAAUAGCAAUUAAAGAACUUUUUGUUGAUGAUGACUUAUGAAGCUCCGUGUGGUCCACUCUCGUAAAAUGAUAGAGCUAUUCCCCGUUUCGUGAUAUUUCCCGACUUGUUCUAAUUCCUGUAUAUUUCUGUUAUCCCGGGCUCAGCUCGUUACAGAUAAGCCUGGGUGUUAUGCAGUUUGCUCGGAUAUGUGUAGCUAACGUACGUGCACACUGCAUAAUGAGCACACUUAGCGUCACUGUAAACGUUAACCAUUCAUAUACCUAUAUUUUGUAGGUCGCCUGUAUUUACGUAUGUCACGUUUAGUGGGACGACUAACGCGACUUGUGCGAUACACAGGUGUUAAUUGAGUCAUUUCAACACAAAGUUGUAUGCUGAAAAUUAGUAGGUAGUCACAUAAUCUUGAGCCUUAAAUAAUUAUUAAAUUUACAAUGAAGAGUCCACGUUUUUGUGUGAUUUAGAGUAACAUAAGAAGCUAUCUAUAUUCAUUCUGUACUGAUAUUAACUUUCUAAGGCAGUAAUCUGUGAACGAUCUUCAAGGUUCAUGGGAAUGAACUUAGCCGCAAACAAUUGAAAAUCUUGUAAAUGCUGUAGAGCUUUUAUUCACUAAAUCAAAUAGAUUAAUCAUUAUAAAGUACUAUUCAUUUGUGCUCUACUAAAAAAAUAUAUGUUUUAGUUAAUAUCUAAUAAUUGUUUCUUCAUAGAUAAAUACUUGUUUGCGAACUACACAUAUUUUGAUAAAUACAACUUGCUAGCGUAGCGAUAAGGAAGCGAUAAGACCCGACAUAAAACGUAAUUUUAUUACUAAUUACAAUUUUGACACGAAUCUAUACAAUAUACUCACUUCAUUUGACUGGUCAUACAAGAAAUGUAGAGACGAAACUAGUCCCGUCGCAAGGUAUGCGACGCAUCAUUGUAGUGUAUGUUCCUAUUGUUCGCUUUUUCAUAUAGAAUUAAGAGUCUACAAUGUCUACAUAUCAUAAAGAGUUGCAUACCUUGCGUACGCAGGCUCAGUUUGUCGCUACUUUAUUGUAAUUCACCCGAGCGUAUAACAUAAUAAUGUUCAAGACAUCACUGUUCAGCUGCAAAGAAACAUUGCUAUCUAAGUUAUCCUUUACAAGUCAAAGGUUUUUAAAUAUCAUAACACGAGGACUUCGGUCUUCGUUUUUAUUGUAAACAACAUUGAUAUUACCUACAAUACAAAUCACGGACAGGAAAUAAGAACGUGAGGAUAUGACACAUUGUAUAAUUAAAUUAAUCAUUGUUAGUCACUUAGUACUUAUAUAACAAUGUCCAUCUUUUAUUAUUUGGUUUAUCAUGGAUUAUUAUUAAUGAAGUUGUAAAUAUAGCAGUACAAUGCCGCAUUAUUUUGUGAAUAAUUAGGAUUUAAGCAACACAGCUCGACGGCUAACGAACUAUUCAUGAAUUUACUAAUAGUACUUUUUUGAAUACCUAAUUCUAGUCUAAUGUACGAUUUUGACACAACAUUCAGCUCUAUAUUUCCCUUGUAUGUGCAGACGGGUAGAGUAGGUAAGCUGUUAGUUUAUCGGACAUUUAUUUUUAGAUAAGUUCACUGUCCCAGCCCGCGUCAGGUAUAAGAACGAAAUGGCUUCCUUAAUGUCACCAGCAGACUACGAUGGCCACUUGUUUCCAUCCUACUUAUAAGAAAAUGGAAUGAACUUCCCUCUGUUCAUAACGAAAAACUAUUUAAUAGAAUGUUUUUCUCAAAGAGGAAAGCACUCUAGUACUCUACAUCAUUAUAAGUUUUGCGUUACUCACAGUUUUAAAAUAUUUUGCUUUGUUAUGACCUGGUUAUUCCCGUGGGUUUGUGAAUUGAUAAAGGUAGGCAUGUAGGAUAUUUUCUGUAAUGUGUUUAUGUGAGUACCUACACUGAGUGUAUCCACAUAUUUUAACCAUGACUGUUUCACCGAUGAGUAUUCCUUCCCACAAGCAUUUAAUUGAGUACUUAUAGUUAUUAUUAAUGAUUUCGCAUUAUAUAAGUAUUGUAAUAGGAUUGGAAAACAUAUUAAGAGUAAGUACGAGUGAUUAUUUCCUGUUUUACUAUAUUACUUAUAAGUCAUUACUAAUUUGCUUUACUAUCUCUAUUGCAGGUUUUAUUCCAUUCUUACCAAAAAUUAAACAAAAUUAAAUGUUGUUAUUUUACUAUUUUAUUAUUUUAUUUUAUUAUUUGAUGCAAAUAACUGCUCCGUUUGUUUAUUUGAAAUUGGUUAUAUAAUCUGGACAAAGCCUUAAUAGGACUCUUUGAAUUAAAGUUAUUUGCUUUAUUAUUAUUUAUUAAACCUAUUUGCGUAAUUGGCGGUUAAUAAAUAUUAUUGCAAAUGUAAUUGGAUAACUGAAUUAUUUAUUAUACAGUGUCAAUACCAAAAUUUGGCGCUAUUCGAAAAUGUAGCCCAAAUUAAGUAAUAAAUGAACUUUAAUAAAACUGGAUGUUAAUUCGAUAUUGCAGCAAAUAAUGUAGAAUUUUGACAAAACCGUUGGAGCGGGUUAAAUAGGAUCAUGUAAAUUAAAUUAUCAGUUUUGGGAUGGCAGAACACCCUUUUAAUUAGUAGGAUUAUUGGUGGAGCUUAAAUUUGAUUGGUUUAUUUAUUAAAAAAAUAAAUGUGUCAUUCUAUGCAUAUUCUACUUGAAACGUUUAACAUUUUGGAAGUAGUUCUGUGAGUAGGCCUUGUGCGUUGCAUUGACCCAUUGGCCCUAGUUACAACUAGUUAACAUUUAGUGUGCCCCGACUCAACGCAUCUGGUAUUUUCGUUGACUAUCUUGUCUGUGACACAUGGCGCACACUAACUCAGGAUGUUGAUAAUGAUUUUCAUUCAUAACUAUUGUUAAGUAAAGUAAUUGUUUUGUCUAUUUAUAAGUUGAGCGUCGUAGGAUCUUACGCUACAAUGAAUCAGUACAACAUAAUUAGAUAGGUCAAUGACAUUCCUUUCGGAGGCAUGUUCUAGAAGCAUAUUCUGUGUUUUUUUUUAUAAAUUCAUCGUGUUUGUAACGUAGUUUUAGUAGACUUUUGUAUCACAUUCAAUCGGUUAUAGUGCCCUAAAAAGAGUAUGUAUGUAAAAUGGCUACUAAUUAAUAAAAUUUAAAACUCUGUGGUCGCAAGUGGGAUGUGUCAGUGUAGGUGGAUGACAUAAUUCAAUUAGAAACUAGUUCAAGUGAACAAAUUAGUACAGAACAACAUUAGUAAUGCUACGUAAUUAAAAUUUUCGGCGAUGUGGCGAUGACUAAUAUGUAGAAGAAUCUAUUCUUGUUUCCUAUUUUUUUAUGAGAUAUUUACUUUACAACUCCCUAGUUCUUAUGCUCUUAAUCUUGAGGAUAAAACAAUGACGGAUGAAAAGGUAGAACAAUGCUUGUUGCAGUGGGCGCGUUCACGAAGCCAGCGCGUAGAGUAUCGCAGUCGCGUGCUCUCGCGGCGCAUUCAGCAGGGGCACUGGCGCGACAGAGGCGCCCCACUAUCUCGCGCCAGAACUUGCCCGACAGGCUUCUCUACUUCUUUUUCGAACGUGCGCGUGCGCCGCGCCGAUGCCACGUUUCGUCCCGAUACGUUGCCAGUUCUACAGUAUUUUUUUUGUUUUGUGUUGACGCUUCUAAAUGAGGGGCCAUAAAAUAGAAACGUGGUUUGACGAAUAAAAAAUUAGGAGGGUAAUAUUAGUUAGUUACCGAUUCUUCUCUACACUUUUUAAGCUACUUGAAUAAAGUCACUGUUAUAAUGCAA